AGGGAGUUGGCCGAGUGGUUAUGGCGCUAGGUUUAGGCUUAUGUAAUCUCCUGGUUGCGUCGCCAGAUCCCUAGUUUCGAAAGAUUCGCGUGUUCGAAUCACGCACUCCCUA